GUCGUAAACAUCUUGCUGUUCCAGUAAAUAUUAUUGAUAUGGUUUUGGUAUGCUUCUUUUGUUUAAUUGAUGAACACCAUUGCCACCACAUAAGAUCAAAACAAUAAAAAAAAAAAAAGAAAAAGGGUUAAUCGAGGUUUUACAAAACUAAGUACAAACGGAGUUAUUCUUUUUGAACUCUUAAAAGAUCACACAAUCUACAAUCGCCC
rnacentral:lncRNA from 1 species